CAGUAGCCACGGGAAUACGAAGGGGGCUAGCGUUGUUCGGAUUUACUGGGCGUAAAGGGUGCGUAGGCGGAUUGUUAAGUCGGGGGUGAAAUCCCGAGGCUCAACCUCGGAACUGCCUUUGAUACUGGCGAUCUUGAGUCCGGGAGAGGUGAGUGGAACUGCGAGUGUAGAGGUGAAAUUCGUAGAUAUUCGCAAGAACACCGGUGGCGUAGGCGGCUCACUGGCCCGGUACUGACGCUGAGGCACGAAAGCGUGGGGAGCAAACAGGAUUAGAUACCCGAGUAGUCCCUGUCUCUUAUAC
rnacentral:rRNA from 1 species